rnacentral:rRNA from 1 species
UACGUAGGUCCCGAGCGUUGUCCGGAUUUAUUGGGCGUAAAGCGAGCGCAGGUGGUUUAUUAAGUCUGGUGUAAAAGGCAGUGGCUCAACCAUUGUAUGCAUUGGAAACUGGUAGACUUGAGUGCAGGAGAGGAGAGUGGAAUUCCAUGUGUAGCGGUGAAAUGCGUAGAUAUAUGGAGGAGCACCGGUGGCGAAAGCGGCUCUCUGGCCUGUAACUGACACUGAGGCUCGAAAGCGUGGGGAGCAACCAGG